rnacentral:rRNA from 1 species
CCUACGGGUGGCAGCAGUGAGGAAUAUUGGUCAAUGGGCGAGAGCCUGAACCAGCCACGUAGCGUGAAGGAUGAAUGCCCUACGGAUUGUAAACUUCUUUUAUAAAGGAAUAAAGUGAGGCACGAGUGCCUCUUUGUAUGUACUUUAUGAAUAAGGAUCGGCUAACUCCGUGCCAGCAGACGCGGUAAUACGGAGGAGCCGAGCGUUGUCCGGAUUUAUUGGGUGUAAAGGUAGCGUAGAUGGGUUGUUAAGUCAGUUGUGAACGGUUGCGGCUCAACCGUAAAAUUGCAAUUGAUACUGGCAGUCUUGAGUACAGUUGAGGUAAGCGGAAUUCGUGGUGUAGCGGUGAAAUGCUUAGAUAUCACGAAGAACUCCGGUUGCGAAGGCGGCCUGCUGGACUUUAACUGACGCUGAUGCUCGAAAGUGUGGGUAUCGAACAGGAUUAGAUACCCCUGUAGUC